CCAUAGCCCCGAUCACAGCAUUUGUUUGAGCUCAUUUUCUUUUGAAAAAAAGAAAAUAGCGAGUGCGGAGAGCGGGAUCAGCU
rnacentral:misc_RNA from 1 species